AUACCCCAUGGUGCUCAGGUCCGCCGCAUCUCCUGGGUCGUGGGGUCGGUCGGCAGGUAUAUGAUUGUUUGCGGUUCCUCGUGCCGUUAUUAUGUGCCCGCCGACCCCCUU
rnacentral:sRNA from 1 species